rnacentral:rRNA from 1 species
GAUGAACGCUGGCGGCGUGCCUAAUACAUGCAAGUCGAGCGAACGGACGAGAAGCUUGCUUCUCUGAUGUUAGCGGCGGACGGGUGAGUAACACGUGGAUAACCUACCUAUAAGACUGGGAUAACUUCGGGAAACCGGAGCUAAUACCGGAUGAUAUUUUGAACCGCAUGGUUCAAAAGUGAAAGACGGUCUUGCUGUCACUUAUAGAUGGAUCCGCGCUGCAUUAGCUAGUUGGUAAGGUAACGGCUUACCAAGGCAACGAUGCAUAGCCGACCUGAGAGGGUGAUCGCCCACACUGGAGCUGAGACACGGUCCAGACUCCUACGGGAGGCAGCAGUAGGGAAUCUUCCGCAGUGGGCGAAAGCCUGACGGAGCAACGCCGCGUGAGUGAUGAAGGUCUUCGGAUCGUAAAACUCUGUUAUUGGUGAAGAACAUAUGUGUAAGUAACUGUGCACAUCUUGACGUUACCUAAUCAGAAAGCCACGGCUAACUACGUG